CAUCUUACAUUUGUCCUCCAUGGUAUGCCGUAGCUUGACCUAUAAUUUUUACGUCAGCGGAAGUUCCGUCCUCUUUCUCCCCUCUCUUGCAGGCUGUGCUUCAGUCCGCUGACACGGCAAGAUGCCACGAAAAAUCGAAGAAAUAAAAGAUUUCCUUCUUACAGCAAGGAGGAAGGAUGCCAAGUCCGUAAAGAUCAAGAAGAACAAGGACAAUGUCAAGUUCAAGGUGCGUUGCAGCCGGUACCUGUACACCCUCGUCAUCACAGACAAGGAGAAGGCAGAGAAGCUGAAACAGUCCCUGCCCCCAGGUCUGGCUGUGAAGGAGCUCAAGUAGAGGACUAUCUUCGUGUACAGUAAAUUGUAAUAAAAAGAGGAAAACCA